UACGGGAGGCAGCAGUGGGGAAUAUUGCACAAUGGGCGAAAGCCUGAUGCAGCUAUGCCGCGUGUAUGAAGAAGGCCUUAGGGUUGUAAAGUACUUUCAUCGGGGAGGAAAAAACAAAACUAAUAAUUUUAUUUCUUGACGUUACCCGAAAAAGAAGCACCGGCUAACUCCGUGCCAGCAGCCGCGGUAAUACGGAGGGUGCUAGCGUUAAUCAGAAUUACUGGGCGUAAAGAGCACGUAGGUGGUUUUUUUAAGUCAGAUGUGAAAUCCCCGGGCUUUAACCUAGGAACUGCAUUUUGAAACUGAAAUACUAGAGUAUCGUAGAGGGAGGUAGAAUUCUAGGUGUAGCGGUGAAAUGCGUAGAUAUCUGGAGGAAUACCUGUGGCGAAAGCGGCCUCCUAAACGAAUACUGACACUGAGGGUGCGAAAGCGUGGGGAGCAAACAGGGAUUAGAUACC
rnacentral:rRNA from 1 species